AACACGCUGGCGGCGCGCCUAACACAUGCAAGUCGAACGAGAAAGUGGAGCAAUCCAUGAGUACAGUGGCGUACGGGUGAGUAACACGUGGGUAAUCUACCUUUUAGUGAGGAAUAACCCAGGGAAACCGGGGCUAAUACCGCAUAAGCCUGAGAAGGGAAAGCAGCAAUGCGCUGAAAGAGGAGCCCGCGGCCGAUUAGCUAGUUGGUGAGGUAAGAGCCCACCAAGGCAGAGAUCGGUAGCCGGCCUGAGAGGGCACACGGCCACACUGGCACUGAAACACGGGCCAGACUCCUACGGGAGGCAGCAGUGGGGAAUCUUGCACAAUGGGGGAAACCCUGAUGCAGCGACGCCGCGUGAGCGAUGAAGCCCUUCGGGGUGUAAAGCUCUUUCGUCAGGGAAGAUAGUGACGGUACCUGGAGAAGCAGCUGCGGCUAACUACGUGCCAGCAGCCGCGGUAAUACGUAGGCAGCAAGCGUUGUUCGGAGUUACUGGGCGUAAAGGGUGUGUAGGC
rnacentral:rRNA from 1 species